AAAUAGGUAAGCUAAAGUUAAGCUAUUGGGCUCAUAACUCAACAAUGGAUUUAUCUCCUCUAUUUA
rnacentral:tRNA from 1 species